ACUGGGGUAAAAAUCUGGGGUUGGUCAUGCUUUGAGCAGGGGGAUUAGACUAGAUCUCCCAAGGUCCCUUCCAACUCUGAUAUUCUAUGUACUUCCAUGACUCUAAGAGCUGGAGCUUUAAGAAAGAUCCCAAUUAAUGCAAGAGGUUGCAACCAAGGAUGUCAUUUUUCAUCUCUUUAGGUUGAAAAUUUAGGGUCAAAUUCUUCUCACCUGACAGCUAAAUAGCAUUAUUCUUGUGAAUAAGGCAAAGAAGAUUUAGCCUUUAAACUUGCCCAUUUUCCUGCAAGAUUAUAUUACUAUAACAGACUAUCUGUUUUUGGCAACUCAUUCUGAGGCCUGGUCUACAUACAGAUUUUGAACCAGUAUAAAUAGAACUCUCAGAGACCGUGCAUACCCACUGGUUUAUGAAGCAAACCCUGACAGCUGGUGGUUCUACUACAAACUCAGCAGGUGCAAAGUGGUGAUUCAAUGUGCAUUUUGGUGGCCUAAAGCAAAGUGGAGGAUCUUGCUGACAUGCAAUGAUGAUGCAGUCAGCAAUGUUCCACAACCCUUGCUGCAAGUGAAUCAGAUUUUGUGUGCAAAGCCUGAUUAGCAUGUAAAACAGUUAAUAAUGAGCAUGUAAAACUAGCCUCUGCCAAUGCUACAAAUCUGGUCCUGUGAGUUUUCUGCAUUCUGUUCAGUUGCUUGCCCAUAUAUGCAACCCUUCUCUGGCUUACACUCUUAUUUGUGCCUUCAACCAUAUAAUUCAU